GACGAACGCUGGCGGCGUGCCUAAUACAUGCAAGUAGAACGCUGAAGAGAGGAGCUUGCUCUUCUUGGAUGAGUUGCGAACGGGUGAGUAACGCGUAGGUAACCUGCCUGGUAGCGGGGGAUAACUAUUGGAAACGAUAGCUAAUACCGCAUAAUAGCAGUUAUUGCAUGAUAACUGUUUGAAAGGUGCAAAUGCAUCACUACCAGAUGGACCUGCGUUGUAUUAGCUAGUUGGUGGGGUAACGGCUCACCAAGGCGACGAUACAUAGCCGACCUGAGAGGGUGAUCGGCCACACUGGGACUGAGACACGGCCCAGACUCCUACGGGAGGCAGCAGUAGGGAAUCUUCGGCAAUGGACGGAAGUCUGACCGAGCAACGCCGCGUGAGUGAAGAAGGUUUUCGGAUCGUAAAGCUCUGUUGUAAGAGAAGAACGAGUGUGAGAGUGGAAAGUUCACACUGUG
rnacentral:rRNA from 1 species